UUUACUAAUAAUUACGUUCAAGUGUUUAUAACGUUUUGGGAACUUAUCAGUAAAAGUGCUUAGAUUAUAUAUCAAUCACGUCACAGCAACUAAGCAAAAAUAAUAUCCAGGCCGGUGUUGUCAUCCGGGCAACCGCCUAGGGUCCCGACGCCAGAGGAGGACCCACACACACCUACAGAAAUAUGAGUACAUGUACUAUUUCUGUGCCAGCUAUACUAUUACAGCCUUUGCUUUAGGAUUAGAAACGUUUCGUUUUCACUCAACAAAACUAAACUUAAUGCGUGCAGUGCAGUGAAAAUGUUCAGAUCUCCCCCCUUUUUUUCUUUCUUGCCAUCUGUUCCUUUAGUUCCGUCUCUUCUCACUCCAUUGGCUUAAUUAAUAUUAAAGAUACGAUUUUAAACCGUCAAACAUGAAACCUGCCGAACCUCUGGAACCUCCAAAUAAAAAGAAACUAAGAUCUGGAUGCUACAGUGAAAAAGAAAAUAUGCUAAAAUCAUAUACAGCAGGUUUCGCUAGCUUACAAAGGACAGGACAUUAUUUGAAUAGUAAAUAUGCCCAGCGAAUCUCUCUAAAAUCAUUUGCCUAUGAAAGACAGGAUGUUUGCAUUAGCCAACAACCUAAAUGCAAUGCUCUCAUAUACACAAAUAAGACGAGUCAGAGUGAAUUCAAAACACAGUUGGAAGACAGAAUCAGUGAGACAAAGCUUACCCUAUUGUUUCUUUUCAAUAAUACCAUCACUGUAUUGUACUACAAUACAUCACUGUCAGGAACUGUCCAAGAUGAUCCAAAUGCAGUUUUAAUGUCCAAGAUAUACAAUAUAAAACAAUAAUGUUCAUAUAUAUCAAAGAAAUUUUAGCAUUCUUCAAGAUGAUCCUUCUACAGCUGCUAUUUUCAAUAACCCUCCUCUAAUCUCAUACAGAAGAGACAAAAAUCUAAGAGAGCAUCUGGUCCUCAGUAACAUUCAACCCAAUCUGGACAGUCUUAAGGGUACGUUUCCAUGCAAUAGGUCACGCUGUGCAACUUGCAAAUAUAUUCACAGCAACACAGUAGUUAA